rnacentral:rRNA from 1 species
UACGGGGGGUGCGAGCGUUGUCCGGAAUCACUGGGCGUAAAGGGCGCGUAGGUGGUUUGAUAAGGGUGUGGUGAAAGUCCGGGGCUCAACCCCGGAUCUGCCGUGCCGACUGUCAAACUCGAGGACUGUAGAGGCAGACGGAAUUCCGGGUGUAGCGGUGGAAUGCGUAGAGAUCCGGAGGAAGACCGGUGGCGAAGGCGGUCUGCUGGGCAGUUUCUGACACUGAGAAGCGAAAGCAUGGGGAGCGAACAGG